AGUGGGGAUGGCAGCUGCUGUGCAGGCAGCAGAGAACAAAUACACAAACCAGAGCACAGAACUCCAGGGCAGGACACUGAGGUGCAGGCGCGAGGAGGUGACGGAUGAGUCGCCAAGGUGGUGGCCACCCCAACUGGGCUGAACAGGACUGUCUUCACUGUAGUGAGAUGGACAUUUCAGCAGCCCAAAGGCGAAGCUCGGCCGAAAGAGUGAUACUAUCCCUAAAUUCCCGCUAACUGAAGGAAGAUGGAAUGAAAAUAAUGAGCAAAGGGGAUAAAAGAGGAAAGAAGCUCCACUGAUUCUUGGCAGGAGAAAUGGCCUCACAGACCAGCCCCAGCCUGCAGAAAUGUCUGAGUCACUCUCCUUGGAAGUUCUCCGCCUAACCAACUCAGGGCCAUGACUUAAACUACAAUGAGCAUGACCUCCGGACAUUAACAAGAGAAGCUUGCCUUGGGAGAUGCCUCCGAACCUUCAUAAAGAAUUGUUCUCUGCAGCAAUGCUGUUUCCAUGCACACCAGCCAAAGGCCCUGGGACACACUCUGCCAUUGACUGGGUGAUAACGAAGUCUGUUCAACACCUCUUCCAUGAAGUGCCACCCCCACCACGGCGAGGACCUCCUCUGGAAGCUAAAGAUGGCAUUGCCAUCCUUCCCCUACGCAGUUUAAAGGACUGAGUAUCUCCAGCUAUUUGACUGGAGAGGCUGGACAUCAGCCUCCAUCUCUGAAGCUCCUGAAGAUGAGUGGAGUGUUUCCUGGCAAACUGUUCAACAUUCUGCUACAACAGAGUGAUCUGGAUGCCCAUUGCUCAUAUUGGUAAAAAUCUCAGCCGUAAGUGUCUGUACUUAUUCAGAUACUGCUUUGAGUUUGUCUUCUCUUAAGUGCGGCAUGCUACUUGGACAGGGACCUCUGGGCACCCUUCUUGGUUCCCGGGACAGCCCUGGGCACAGGACUUAGAAGUUGGAGCAAAUGCGGAAUGAAAACAAUGCACACUUUCUGUCCCAUGGCACUUAACGGUCAAUUUGCUGAAAUAGUAUCUGUUUAGAUGGCUAAUAACCACUGCUCUGUUAUUUGUAGAAAGCUGUAUUUUGUUUUCUAAUUAUGUCUUAAGUCAGUCUCUUAUCUGUGCCUUAAUAUCUCUAUAAAAAUGUGUCAAUUUCUCCAUCAUUUAUUAUACCCCAGGGACCCUGAAGGUUUGAAAAGGUGAUUACUAUAGUGUAUUUUUUUAAAAUACAAGUUGCUGUUACCAUGCCUGCAAAUCAUAUCCCAGAAAGGGAAAUACAUGUGCUGCUCAGGGUAAGACAGUAAGGGGAGUCCACCAGUGAUGGGGGAAAGGGAGCUCUCAGAAUCCUGAUUUUUUUGGCAGAAAAGAGGUUGUACCUAGCAACGUAAUUCCAACACAGGGUGCCCUUGGGAAGUCAGGUAGAAUAACCUAAAAUUAGGUUUCAAAAUGAGAAUUGCAUUUUUUCCAGCGAGACAGCAUAGUUGAUACUGAAUGUUAUUUACAGAUUUGACUUUAGUAGUUUUAAACCAUUUUUCUUGUUUCCGAUAAAUCAUGUCAUAGAUAUAGGUACAUAUUAUUCCUUCUUUGUUUUAGAACUAAAUUACCUUUUAAAUAAGGGGGGGAAUGAAUUAUGUUAGUAAAAUCCUCAAAUUGCUUUGCACAACAUCAAUUCAGAGAAACGCUUUCCUCCUUCAUAGGAUAAUGGCCCAAGUCGAAAGUAAUAAAAUCAACAACCAGAUUUGUUGAACAUGUACUAUGUGGGAAUGUAUGCUAAUCACUGCA